rnacentral:rRNA from 1 species
UUAAGCGACUAAGCGUACACGGUGGAUGCCCUGGCAGUCAGAGGCGAUGAAGGACGUGCUAAUCUGCGAAAAGCGCCGGCGAGGUGAUAUGAACCCUUGACCCGGCGAUGUCCGAAUGGGGAAACCCAGUGCAAUUCGUUGCACUAUCGUUAACUGAAUACAUAGGUUAACGAGGCGAACCGGGGGAACUGAAACAUCUAAGUACCCCGAGGAAAAGAAAUCAACCGAGAUUCCCCCAGUAGCGGCGAGCGAACGGGGAGCAGCCCGGAGUCUGAAUCAGCUUGUGUGUUAGUGGAACGGUCUGGAAAGUCCGACGGUACAGGGUGAUAGUCCCGUACACGAAAGCACACAUGCUGUGAACUCGAAGAGUAGGGCGGGACACGUGGUAUCCUGUCUGAAUAUGGGGGGACCAUCCUCCAAGGCUAAAUACUCCUGACUGACCGAUAGUGAACCAGUACCGUGAGGGAAAGGCGAAAAGAACCCCGGCGAGGGGAGUGAAAAAGAACCUGAAACCGUGUACGUACAAGCAGUGGGAGCCUCUUUAUGGGGUGACUGCGUACCUUUUGUAUAAUGGGUCAGCGACUUAUAUUCUGUAGCAAGGUUAACCGUAUAGGGGAGCCGAAGGGAAACCGAGUCUUAACUGGGCGUUAAGUUGCAGGGUAUAGACCCGAAACCCGGUGAUCUAGCCAUGGGCAGGUUGAAGGUUGGGUAACACUAACUGGAGGACCGAACCGACUAAUGUUGAAAAAUUAGCGGAUGACCUGUGGCUGGGGGUGAAAGGCCAAUCAAACCGGGAGAUAGCUGGUUCUCCCCGAAAGCUAUUUAGGUAGCGCCUCGUGAACUCAUCUUCGGGGGUAGAGCACUGUUUCGGCUAGGGGGCCAUCCCGGCUUACCAACCCGAUGCAAACUACGAAUACCGAAGAAUGUUAUCACGGGAGACACACGGCGGGUGCUAACGUCCGUCGUGAAGAGGGAAACAACCCAGACCGCCAGCUAAGGUCCCAAAGUCAUGGUUAAGUGGGAAACGAUGUGGGAAGGCACAGACAGCCAGGAUGUUGGCUUAGAAGCAGCCAUCAUUUAAAGAAAGCGUAAUAGCUCACUGGUCGAGUCGGCCUGCGCGGAAGAUGUAACGGGGCUAAACCAUGCACCGAAGCUGCGGCAGCGACGCUUAUGCGUUGUUGGGUAGGGGAGCGUUCUGUAAGCCGUUGAAGGUGUCCUGUGAGGGGUGCUGGAGGUAUCAGAAGUGCGAAUGCUGACAUAAGUAACGAUAAAGCGGGUGAAAAGCCCGCUCGCCGGAAGACCAAGGGUUCCUGUCCAACGUUAAUCGGGGCAGGGUGAGUCGACCCCUAAGGCGAGGCCGAAAGGCGUAGUCGAUGGGAAACAGGUUAAUAUUCCUGUACUUGGUGUUACUGCGAAGGGGGGACGGAGAAGGCUAUGUCAGCCGGGCGACGGUUGUCCCGGUUUAAGCAUGUAGGCGGAGGUUCCAGGUAAAUCCGGUACCUUAUUAACGCUGAGGUGUGAUGACGAGGCACUACGGUGCUGAAGUGAUAAAUGCCCUGCUUCCAGGAAAAGCCUCUAAGCAUCAGGUAACACGAAAUCGUACCCCAAACCGACACAGGUGGUCAGGUAGAGAAUACCAAGGCGCUUGAGAGAACUCGGGUGAAGGAACUAGGCAAAAUGGUGCCGUAACUUCGGGAGAAGGCACGCUGAUNCGUUGCACUAUCGUUAACUGAAUACA